rnacentral:lncRNA from 1 species
GAACCCAAGCCCAAGCCGAUGCCAAAACCAAAGCCCAACCCCUGCUCCAAACCAAAGCCAGGUCCUAAGCCCGAGCCAAUGCCGAAACCCGAACCAAAGCCGGAGCCCAAGCCUAAACCUGAACCGAAACCGAAGCCGCCUCCUAAGUGCAAACCACCGACAGCUCACAGUUGAUGGGAUACUUAUAUACGACAGUUCAUGGAGGAGACCCCAUACGAAGCCACACUAUGCUAUUUCUAGAAUAAGUGGUGUAAUAUUCCCUGUAUUCCAGUUAUUUCUAUUGUUCCAUGCAUGUGUGAUGAGUAUUAGUACUCUGUAUUUUUUUUUGCUUGUUGGUAUAUGUUCAUCUACUUUGUAUGUGACUCGACUCCUUGUUCUUCUGACUAUCUACGCAUGAUUGUAUUCAUUCACAUGAAUGAGCUAUUUUGUCAAUGAACUGUAGCCUGUCUUCUCUAUGGUGUGCGUGUACGUGUCUGGUGUUCUAGAUGUAUAAAGUGUACUCAUACGCCAGACAGCGGCCUUGUUCUCUUCCCUUCACCUAUGAACUAAAUCCCGACCGAGUGCGUUAGUAUAUAUGCCCAAGCUCUGUGAGUGAGCUAGCUCCGCUGCUGGUUAUACUAGGUAAACGUCACACACAUUGCUACGAAAGUUUAUCUAUACCCCUAUAUAGUAUGCGAAUAACUUUAAAAGUUGGUCGUUGGAUGAAGCCAAUCCGACGGUACAGAGAUGGCAAAUCCGAGCACUACUGGUCGUUGGAUAUCAUUUACAUUCCACCAAAUUCUGUCACAUGUACAAUCUAGAAGACUUCAUGGUUGAACUUAAGCAUAAUGCACAAACCUCAAAACACAAGCACUUCUCUUUUGUUCUAUAGAAUCUUCCAUAUCUUAAUUGCCCAAACUUUUUUUUCUAAAUGAAUUGUCACUUUUUGUUUUUACUUUAUGCUUUACAAUGCACAAUUUCAUGAAUCUUAAAAUAGAUUUUUUUUAUAAAACUAAUUGAUUUUAGAAGAGACGAACUAUAAGAAUUAAACGAACAUCUACAUCAUGCAUAUAUGACUCAAAGAUUACAUGCUAUAUUGUGGUAUUUAUUCAUAGUUUGGUUACCAAAUCUCCUGCGUGCAAUGUGCGUGUACCUUACUAGUAGCAAAGAAAUUAUGAAAAAUAGCAUAUAUGGGAAUAAUACCACACAACAUUCUCACCAUAUGACGAUAGAAAACCUCAUUAAAAGGCAAAGGGGUUGCUUGCCCGACACCCUCUACACUCUUUUCUCGACCGUUUUUUUUCUGGGUUUGCUCUAUUAUUCAAUGAAAGAAACCUUUCACCGGUUUUCUAAAUUUAAAACAUUCAUGAAUAUGAAAAUGUUCACAAAUUAGCAGAAUACAGGUUUGAAAAAAUUAAAUUAAUUCAAAAACAUUGAAGACUUCAAAAAAUCAAAAAUUCUUUUUUUUUUGAAUUUGAGAAAAGUGAAUUAAAAAAAGAUUGUAAAUUUAAAAAUAAAACUUGCGAAUAUGAAAAAAUGUUCAAAAAUUGAAAAAAUGUUCAUGAAGUUUAAAAUAAAAAUAAAAAAUCCAACAAAAAACUGAAACAAGGCAGAAAAGUAAAAAGAAAAACCUGGCCGAAUUUUCCAGAACCAAAGUUCACCCAUAAGUUCUGGAAGCUUCUGGGAGUGAGCUUCCGCUCACGUAAGCGCCUUUUACGAUCUAUCAAAGGAAGAGGUGUGUGCACUUUCUACCAAUAACUUAGAAACCAGUGCUAAAUAACAUAUUUCCACUUUUAACGAGGGGUAGAACGGAAUUCGACUACAGAGCCACGAUAUGUGCCAAUCCCAACAUUUUUUUUCUAGCAAACACGUUUUUUCUAUAGGGGCACACGUCUCACCGCCAACGAACGGGUUUUUUUGUUUUUAUUUCCAUUUUUUCUCAUUUUCGAGAAAAAUUUAUAUAAAAUAUAUGGAUUUGUACUUUUUUUACAAGUGAUCAUGUAGUUUAAUAAGUGUUCAUGUACUUAAAAAAUGUUCAUCGCUUAUUUGUAAAAUGUUUUCAAAAUAUCAAACAUUUUGCAAAUACACAUAAAAUUAAUUUUUCCAAAAAUACACACUGUGAACAUUCUGAACAAUACAGGAUGAAGAUUUCUUUUAAUACAUGAUGAACCAUAGAAAUAACAAUAUUUUCUGAAAAUACAAAAUGAUUUUUUUAAUCCGUGGUAAUUUUUAUAUACACAGUAAGUAUUUUGUUCAUACAUGAUGAAUAUUUUGUAAAAACAUGAGUGAACAUUGCCCGACGCCGGUGAGGGAGGGGCGAUGAUGGUUGUGCAUUUUCAGCUUGAUCGAGUGAUUUUAUACAUCACUAGAUGGUCUAUGAACCUGAAUGUAUGUUCUGUUACUUCUGAUGUUCUUAUACUGACAUGGCAGUUGAUAAAUAGAUCUAAAGAAUUUUGUAAAACAAUAAGAUAAAUGUUCAACUUGUCUUAAUAAUUGUUCCUGAGAUUUAAAAAAUAUAUUCACAUUGUUCCGAAAACCAGUACAUUUCAAAAAGAAUCAUAUGUUUAGAAAAUUGUUCAUGGCAAUAUUAAAAAUGUUCAGGAAAUAUAAAAAAUGUUUUAUUACAGUUUAUAAAAAUACUUGUGGUAUAUAAAAAUUGUUCAUCAUGUUUUAUAAAACGUACAAACAUGUAUUGGAAAAAUAUUCUAUGUGUAUUAAAAAAAUGAUUAAUAUUUUGAAAACAAUCAACGUGUAUUUGAAAUACGGAAAAUGAAAAACAAAACAUGAAAAAAAGAACAGAAAAGUAAAAUAAGAAAACAAAAAUGAAAAACCUAAACAAACCAGAUAAAGAAAACAGAAAACAAUUUGGAUAAAACGUUCUGAAAAUCGCAUGAAACAAACCAAUGCUACACUGCCUCCACCGCUACUGGGCCACAGCCCGCACCGCAUCACCAAAGGUGAGCGCCUCGCGGUAUGUAGAGACAUAGCAUUUGCGCAAAACGACCGCACGCAUUGAACAAACUGUUGGCUAGCUAGUUUAGCUAGUUAUUAGAAUGACUUGUAACUUUAUUCAAACUCAACCAAAUUGUAGGUACAAUGCUUUGGAUCAUAGAUACGAGAGAUUGCAAAAUAACUUCUAUAACUAAGAAUUACAAUGAAACCCUCUUGAGUAAAAAUAUGAUAAACGAAAAAAAAAAACAUUACUCCCUCUGUACCACAAUAUAAGACGUUUUUGCAAGCUAGUUUAGCUUGCAAAAACAUCUUAUAUAUAUUGUGGGACGGAGGGAGUAGCUCAUAUAAUCCUCACUCCUUCCGAAUAUAUGGCGGUGCUAAACUCGGCAACCCCAUUCGUUUUAGAGCUCCGGCGUGGUGAAGCUCACGCACGAGGUGCACGGUCCGGCCAGUUCCUUUCCAGAGACCUUUGCUUUCCAUUGUGAAUGAACUGAUCAACUGAAGCGUUUGCUUUGUACACUUUGUAUUGCAUUGCGCUAACGUGUACACGGUCCAUCUUGAUUUCUAAAUGAUGGCCGGUCACAUGGACGUGUGAGCACGGGAUUGACAAGGCAACUAACACAAUUCUAUUACUACGAGGAGGCAACUAACAGAGUAAAAAUAUUGCUACUCACCCUACUAUCAUCACAGAGACACACGCAAAAUCCAGCUCUGCUUAUUAACACCUCUACCUACGUAGUACUAGGUUGCUUCAUUUGUAAUUAACCAAUAUAGCUCCAUUGCCAUGUUACGCAGCGAGUAAAUAAACAUUACUCCCUCUGUUCUGAUUUACUCGUCAUGGUUUUAGUUCAAAUUUAAACUAAAACCACAGCGAGUAAAUCAGAACGGAGGAAGUACUUAUCAGUCCAGCUAACUAGCUGCAAUCCUAAUUAAUGCAGCCUUCGGAUCUGCUUUGUUUCACCCAGCCUAUAAAACCACACAAUAUGUACCUCCAGUUCUGCACACAACACACACGCGCGCACACACACAAAGCACAGCAGCUAGCUGCAAGCACAAGAAGGAGGCAGCAAUGGCGAGGCAUCGCCUCCUUGCCGUGCUCCUCAUCGGGAUAGUUGCAGCCUCCGCCUUCAACCAAGCAGCUGCGGCUGGCCGAGGCCUUGCUGUCGUCGAGAAAUUUGCAGAGCUAGAGCCAAAGCCAGAACCCAAACCAGAGCCAAUGCCCAAACCUAUGCCACACACAGAGCCAGAGCCAUGCAAACCUGAACCGACGCCCAAACCCAAACAAAAGCCCGGACAGAAGCCUGAACCAAAACCCAAGCCCAAACCGAUGCCAAAACCGAAGCCCGAGCCGUGCUCCAAACCAAAGCCGGGGCCUAAGCCUGAGCCGAUGCCAAAACCCGAACCAAAGCCAGAGCCCAAGCCUGAACCUGAACCGAAACCGAAGCCGCCUUCAAAGUGCAAACCACCGACAACUCACAAUUGAUGGGAUACUUAUAUAUGAGAGUAGUUGGAGGAGACCCCGCACGGAGCCACAAUGUGCUAUUUCUAGAAUAAGUGGUGUAGUAUUCCCUGUAUUCCAUUUCUUUUUAUUUUUCCAUGCGCGCGUGAUGAGUACUAGUACUCUGUAAUUACUAUUUGGUUGUUGGUAUAUGUUCAUCUACUUUGUAUAUGACUCGACUCAUUGUUCUUUUGAGUAUCUACGCAUGAUUGUAUUCAUUCACAUGAAUUAGCUAUUUUGUUAGAGGACUGCAGUCUAUGUUUUUUUUGUAUGGGUUGCAAUCUCGGUUAUUUUCUCUAUGGGAUUGUUUCAUAUUAUGUGGUCUUUUUNNNNNNNNNNNNNNNNNNNNNNNNNNNNNNNNNNNNNNNNNNNNNNNNNNNNNNNNNNNNNNNNNNNNNNNNNNNNNNNNNNNNNNNNNNNNNNNNNNNNNNNNNNNNNNNNNNNNNNNNNNNNNNNNNNNNNNNNNNNNNNNNNNNNNNNNNNNNNNNNNNNNNNNNNNNNNNNNNNNNNNNNNNNNNNNNNNNNNNNNNNNNNNNNNNNNNNNNNNNNNNNNNNNNNNNNNNNNNNNNNNNNNNNNNNNNNNNNNNNNNNNNNNNNNNNNNNNNNNNNNNNNNNNNNNNNNNNNNNNNNNNNNNNNNNNNNNNNNNNNNNNNNNNNNNNNNNNNNNNNNNNNNNNNNNNNNNNNNNNNNNNNNNNNNNNNNNNNGAAGAGAAGGCCUCCCUAAAUUGCAGCACACAUAUGAAAUGUAUAUAGUAUGCGCGUAUGUGUCUGGUGUUCUAGAUGUAUAAAGUGUACUCACACGCCACACAGCGGUUUUGUUCUCUACCCUUCGCCUAUGAACUAAGUCCCGACCAGGUGCGUUAGUAUUUAUACCCAGGCUCUAUGAGUGAGCUGGCUCCAUUGCUAGUUAUACUAGGUAAACGUCACAUACAUUGCUACGGAAAUUUAUAGCAAUGAAAUUUAAAAAAAUACCAUAUAUGUGAAUAAUACUACACAACAUUCUCAACAUAUGACAAUAGAAAACCUAGAUGUAACUGGAGGGUGGAUGCAUGUUAUAUUGUCUUGCAACCUUCAAGUUUAAUUAUUUGUUGUUGAAAGAUAAUAAAUAGUAAAAAAAUAAUAAGGUUAACAGCUUGCGUGUGUUUGAUUAUGUAGAGGGCUUGCAUAUGAUGGAAAGUGAAAAGUCUAAUGAUUACAUGCACCCUUGAUGAUGUAGAGGACUUGCAUGUGAUGAAAAAUGGUAAGUGAAAGUUGAUUGGUUGCAUGUCCUUCAUGAUGUGAUUAAUUUGCAUGUGCAUUUAGACUUACUUAGAUAUAUAGGAUAUGUGUGUGAAAGGUAACUGCACCCCCUGGUCAAGAUUAGUGGCGGAGCUACCCAAAAAUUGUUGGGCAGGUCAAGGUGGCCCAUCCUAAAGGAAACACGUUUUUCUCUCUCAAAAGGCCCAAGUUUACCUAUACUUGGCUAUGGGCUGGGCCGGCUAUGGCCCAUCUGGCCUUGUUGUAGCUCCAACAGUGGUCAAGACUAUCAAGAAAAGGCACCAUGAAAAUUAUAAUAACAGAUUUUCUCUUACUCAAUUCGCAACAAGAAAAAUCUCCCAGUGAUAGUGCUACGCAACAUUCGAGAGACCAUAAUAAUCUCUCACCCAUCCCAUGGUGCUGGCAGGGUCAACUCUAUAAUUUUGAGAGCGCUUGUGUGAAAUUGGCAAAUUGAUAGUCUUUUUCUUUUCUUUAUUGCGCAUGAAAACUCCUUUUAAGCAACAUUAUAGUAACCCUAAAACUGACAAGGAAAGUAAAUAAAGUACAUAAGUAGAAUUUUAGAAAUCAGAGCACUAACAUUUAACAUGCUUCGACGAAUGGGUGGCUCUGGUAAUAUGGCUAUGGGUACGAGGAAUGAGAGGCCUAGAGUGACAAGCUCAUGCUUCGCUGUCACAGAUGUCUGAGGAGGAGGCGAGACGCUCACGUCACCAAGCUACGAGACAAACCUGUGAAGAUGAAAAUCACGAAUUACAAUUAGGAGAACUGGUGACGCCAUGUGUCCGUGUCGCACGCCGAUUAUGAUUCUUUUCCUUUUUAUGGACCAGUUCAACCAACGGCUAAAGGCCUAAAGCUUGCUUCUUGGAGAGCGUGUAUACCUCAAUUUUAGGAAAGCUCCUUCUCAGUGCUUAUAGUGCUCAUUAGUGCCGCAGCGCACAAGAGCUCGCGCGCAUGGGUCAUCGCAUUAAAAGGCAAAGCGGUUGCUUGCUUGGCCACCCACUACACACUUUUUUUGCAAGCCUUUUUUUAAGGAUUCUCUGUUAUUCAAUGAAAAAAAUCCCACCGGUUUUCUAAAUUUAAAAAUUCAUGAAUAUGAAAAUUUUCAAAAAUUUGAAAAACAAUUACAGUUUGAAGAGAAUGAAUUGAAAAUUUUUGAAAAUUUUAAAAAAAAUCACAAAUUCAUUUUUUGUGAAUUUGAAAAAAGGUGAUUCAAAAAAGUUUGUGAAAUUUGAAAAAAAUCUCAUGAAUAUGAAAAAAUGGUCACAAAAUUGAAAAACUUCAAAAAUUUGAAAAAAAUGUUAGAGAAGUUUAAAAAUAAAAUAAUUAGAAAAAGAGAAAAAAAAAGGCAGAAGAGUAAAAAAGAAAAAUCAGGAUGAAAGUUUCCAUAACCAAAGUUGGCCCAUAAGCUUCUGGAAGCUUCCUAAAACCGACGGGAGGGAGCUUCUGCUCAUGUAAAUGCCAUAGAUUGGGCAGCCCUUUUACAAUCUAUUGAAGCAAGAGGUGCAUGCGCUUUUUAUCAAUAACUUGGAAACCAAUGGUAAAUAGCAUAUCUCCACUUUUAGCGCGGCGUAGAACGGAAUUCGACUACAGAUCCACAGUAUGGGCCAAUCCCAACAUGUUUUUCUAACAAGCUACUUUUUCUAUUGGGGCAGAUGUCUCACUCUAACGAGUAGGAUUUUUUUGUUCUUAUUUUCACAUUUUUCUUUUCAUUUUUUCUAAUUUUCUAGAAAACGCUCUAUAACAUAUAUGGGUGAUCAUAUAAUUUAAUAAGUUUUCAUGUACUUUAAAAAUGUUCAUCACCUAUUUAUAAAACGUUUUCAAAAUAUGAAACAUUUUUAAAAUACAAUUACAAUUACAAAAAGUGUUCAUAUUUUUCUGAAAAUAUACACUAUGAACAUUUUGAACAAUACGGAUGAAGAUUUAUUUUAAUACAUGAUGAACCUUUGUAAUCACAAUAUUUUCUAAAAAUACACAAAGAUUUUUAUAUACACAAUAAAUAUGUUGUUCAUACACGAUGAACAUUUUGUAAAAACAUGAGUGAACAUUGCCCAACUCCGAUGAGGAAGGGGCAAUGAUGGUAGUACCCCUUCGGCUUGCUCGACUGAUUGUAGACAUCGCUAGGUGGUCUAUGGACCUGAACAUAAGUUCUAUUACCUCUGGUGUUCUUGUAUUGACAUGAUGGUUGAUAAGUAGAUCGGAUUUUUUCGAUAUUUUUUUAAGAAAAAUGUUCAACUUGUCUUACAAAUUGUUCCGAAGAUUAAGAAAAAUAUAUUCGCAUUUUUUAAAAAGAACAUUGCAUUUCAAUUUUUUCACAUGUUUAGAAAUUGUUCAUGGCAAUAUUGAAAUAUAAAAAAUGUGUUAUUACAGUUUUGGAAAAAUGUUUGUGGUAUAUAAAAAUUGUUCAUCAUGUAUUUAUAAAACAAUCAAACUUGUAUUAAAAAAUAUUAUAUGUAUAUUUUAAAAAUGUUUAUUAUUUUUAAUAUUUUCAAUAUGUAUUUGAAAAUAGGAAAAUGAAAAACAAAACAUGAAGCAAUGAACAGGAAAAGUAAAAGAGAAACCAAAAAUGAAAAACCUAAACAAACCCAAUAAAGAAAACCCAGACAAAACGUUAUGAGAUCACAAGAAACAAACAAAUGCUACACACCUCCACCACUACUGGGCCACAGCCCACACCGCAUCGCCAGAGGUGAGCGCCUCGCGGUAGGCAGAGACAUAGCAUUUGCGUAAAAUGACCGCACGAAUUGAACAAACUGUCGGCUAGCUAGUUAUUAGAAAGACAUGUAACUUAAUUCAAACUCAACAAAAUUAUAGGUACAAUGCUUUGGAUCAUAGAUACAAGAAAUUAUAAAAUAACUCAUAUAACUAAGAAUUACAAUGAAACCCUCUUGAGUCAAAAUAUGAUAAACAGAGGAAAAAACAUUAGCACAUAUAAUCUUUACUCUAUCCGAAUAUAUGGCGGUGCUAAACUCAGCAACCCCAUUAGUUUUGGAGCUCCGGUUUCAUGGAGCCUUUUUUGGAAAAUCAUACAUUAAUAACUAAAACACGCGCGUGCAUGAGACUGGAGAAUGAGGGGCAUGCAACAUCAAAAUAGGUUAGUUUGUCGGAAUUAUAAGAUUUAAUAAUUUGAGACAAUAUGCAUAAUAAAACCCUCACUAGUGCAGUGUCGAAAACGCUCUUAUAUUGUGGGAUGGAGGAGUACAAUUUUGAAACUGUGCCCAGUAUAUCGGGCCAGAGGGAGAGCUUGAGAAAACACUGAGUCAGCGAAAACUCAGGUGUACGAAGCAGACCAUGGAGCCUUGGGGCUUCUUAACAGGUGGUCCUCACGCACGAGGUGGCUGCACAAUUGGGCCAGUUCCUUACCGGAGACCUUUCCUUUCCAUUCAUUGUGAAUUGAACUGAAGCGAUUGCUUUUUACUUUGUAUUGCAUUGCACAAACGUGUACACUGUCUAUCUUAAUUUCUAAAUGAUGGCCGGUCACAUGGACGUGUGAGCACGGGAUUGACAAGGCAACUAACACAAUUCUACUACUACGAGGAGGCAACUGAUAAUAUUGUUACUCACCCUACUAUCAUCAGAUGGAGACACACAAACAUAAUCCACUGGACAAGGCAACUAACAUAAUUUCUAUUACCACGAGGUUGCAACUAAUAGAGUAAAAAUAUUGUUACUCACAUGUACUAUCAUCAAAGAGACACACACGCAGAAUCCAGCUGUGCGUAUUAACACCUCUAGCUACCUCCGUAGGUCGCUUCAUUUGUAAUCAACUAAUCAACCAAUAUAACUCCAUUGACAUGUUACCCAGUACUACUUGUCACUCCAGCUACCUAGCUGCAAUUCUAAUUAAUGCACCCUCCAGAUCUGUUUUGUUUCACCCAGCCUAUAAAACCACACAGUAUGUAUCUCCAGCUCUCCACACAACACACACGCGCGCACACACAAAGCGCAGCAGGUUCAACACUAGCUACAAUCACAAGUAGGCAGCAAUGGCGAGGCAUCGCCUCCUCGCCGUGCUCCUCAUCGGCAUAGUUGCAGCCUCCGCCUUCAACCAAGCAGCUGUGGCUGGCCGAGGCCUUGCUGCCAUCGAGAAGUUUGCAGAGCUAGAGCCAAAGCCAGAACCUAAACAAGAGCUAAUGCCCAAACCUAUGCCACACACAGAGCCAGAGCCAUGCAAACCUGAACCGACGCCCAAACCCAAACCAAAGCCCGAACAAAAGCCUGGACAUAAGCCUGAGCCAGAACCCAAGCCCAAGCCGAUGCCAAAACCGAAGCCCGAGCCCUGCUCCAAACCAAAGCUGGUGCCAAAACCCGAACCAAAGCCAGAGCCCAAGCCUGAACCUGAACCGAAACCGAAGCCGCCUCCAAAGUGCAAACCACCGACAACGCACAAUUGAUGGGAUGCUUAUAUAUGAGAGUUGAUGGAGGAGACCCCGCACGGAGCCACACUGUGCUAUUUCUAGAAUAAGUGGUGUAGUACUCCUUGUAUUCCAUUUCUUUCUAUUUUUCCAUGCAGAGUACGUACUAGUACUCUGUAAUUACUAUUUGCUUGUUGGUAUAUGUUCAUCUACUUUGUAUGUGACUGACUCGUUGUUCUUUUGAGUAUCUACGCAUGAUUGUAUUCAUUCACAUCAAUGAGCUAUUUCGUUAGUGGACUGCAGUCUAUGUUGUUUUCUCUAUGGGGUUGUUUCAUAUUAUGUGGUCUUUUUUGGGGGGAAAGACGAUGUCAACAAAAAAGAAGAAAAUGACUCCCUAAAUAGCAGCACACAUAUGAAGUGUAUAGUGUGCGCGUACGUGCCUGGUGUUCUAGAUGUAUAAAGUGUACUCACACGCAAGACAACAGCCUUGUUCUCUACCCUUCACCUAUGAGCUAAGUCCCGACCGUGUGCGUUAGUAUUUAUGCCCAGGCUGACUCCGCUGCUGGUUAUACUAGCUAAACUUUGCACACAUUGCUACGAAAAUUUAUAGCAAUGAAAUUUUGAAAACUAGCAUAUAUGGGGAUAAUACUACACAACAUUCUCACCAUAUGUCAAUGAAAACCUACAUGUAAUGGAGGGUGGAUGCAUUUUAUAUUGUCUUGUGACCUUAUAGUUUAAUUAUUUCUUGCUGAACAUAAAUAGUAAAAAAUAAUGAGGUGAAGAGCUUUCAUGUGUUUGAUGAUGUGGAGGACUUGCAUAUGAUGAAAAGUGAAAAGUUGAAUGAUUACAUGCACGCUUGAUGAUAUGGAGGACUUGCCUGUGAUGAAAAGUGGUAAGUGAAAGUUUAUUGGCUGCAUGCCCUUCAUAAUGUGAUUGACAUGCAUGUGUAUUUAAAUGGGAUGACUUACUUAGAUACUAUAUAGGAUAUGUUUGAAAGAUAACUACACCCCCUAGGUCAAGAUUACCAAGAAAAACACCAUGGAAAUUAUUAUUAAUAGAUUUUCUCUUACUCAAUUCGCAACAAGAAAAAACACUCAACGACAAUGCUAUGCAACAUAAGAGAGACCACAAUAAUCUCUCACCCACCCCAUGGUACUGCCAGGGUAGGCUCUAUGAUUUUAAGAGCCCUUGGGUGAAGUUGGCGAAUUGAUCAUCCUUAUUUUUUCCUUUUUCAACACUCAACAAAUCUUUUUUAAGAAACAUUAUAGUAACCCUAAAACUGACGAGGAAAGUAAAUACAUAAAUUGAACUUUGAAAUUAGAGGUCUAACAUUUAACAUGCUUCGAGGAAUGGGUGGCACUGAUAAUAUGGCUAUGGAUGCAUGCAAUGAGAGAUCUAGAGAGUGACAAGCUCGUGCCUUGUUGUCCUUGACGUAUGAGGAGGCGGCGAGACUCACGUCGUCAAGCUUCGAGACAAACCUGCAACGACGAAGAUCGUGAAUUGCAAUAAGGAGAACUGGUGAUGCCAUGUGUCCAUGUCGCAUACCGAUUGUGAUUCUUUUCCUUUUGAUGGACUAGUUCAACCAACGGCUAAAAGCCUAAAGCUUGCUUUUAGGAGAGCGUGUAUACCUCACUUUUAGUAGAGCUCCUUCUCAACGCUUAUAGCGCUCGCUGCAGCGCACAUGUGCUCGUGCAAAUGGGUCUUCCCAUUAAUUGGUAAAGCAGUUGCUCGCCCGACCGCCCACUACACUCCUUUUUUGCCGCCUUCUUUUCCUGGUAUUGCUCUAUAUAUUAUUCAAUGAAAGAAAACUUCCACCGGGUUUACAAAUUUAAAAAAAUCAUGAAUAUGAAAAGGUUCACAAAUGUGAAAAAAUACGGAUUUGAAAAUAUAAUUUAUUCAAAAACAUGGACAACUUCUAAAAAAUCACAAAUUCAUUUUUUGCGAAUUCGAAAAGGUGAAUUAAAAAAUUGUAAUUUCAAAAAACUCGCAAAUAUGAAAAAAUGUUCACAAAAUAAAGAGUUCAUGAAUUUAAAAAUAAUAAAAGAAUGCAAACAGAAAAGAGAAACAAGGCGGAAAAGUAAAAAAGAAAAACCAGGCAGAAAGUUUACAGAACCAAAGUUGACCCAUAAGCUUUUGGAAAAUUCCUAAAAACGGGAGGGAGCUUCCGCUCACGUAAACCCCAUAGAUUGGCCACCCCUUAUACGAUCUAUUGAAGGAAGAGGUGUAUGCGCUUUCUACCAAUAACUUAGACACUAGUGCUAAAUAGCAUAUUUCCACUUUUAGCGAGGGGUAGAACGAAAUUUGACUAUAAAGCCACGGCAUGGGCCAAUCGCAACAUUUUCUUUCUAACAAACAAGAUUUUUCUAUAGGGGCACACGUCUCACUCUAAUGAGCGUGUUUUUUUCAUUCUUAUUUUCACUUUUUUUUCUCAUUUUCUAGAAAACGUUCUAUAAAAUAUAUGGGUUUGUACUUUUGGUAAGUGAUCAUGUAGUUUAAUAAGUGUAAAUGUACUUAAAAAUGCUCAUCAUGUAUUUAUAAAACAUUUUCAAAAAAAUCAAACAUUUUUCAAAUACACAUAGAACUGAAAAGUGUUCAAAUAUUUUCCGAAAAUAUACACUGUGAACAUUUUGAACAAUAUAGGAUGAAGAUUUCUUUCAAUACAUGAUGAACCUUUCAAAUAACAAUAUUUUUCUAAAAUUGCACAAUGAUUUUUUUAAAUCCAUGAUAAUGUUUAAAUAUACAAUAUUAUUUUCAUACACGACGAACAUUUUGAAAAAACAUGAGUGAGCAUUGCCCAACUCCCAUGAGGGAGGGGCGAUGAUCGUGGUGCACUUUCGGCUUGGUCGAGUGAUUGUAGACAUCGCUAGGUGGUCUAUGGAACUGGAUGUAAGUUAUGUUACUUCAGGUGUUCUUAUACUGACAUGAUAGUUGAUAAAUAGAUCGAAAGUUUUUUUUUGUAAAAAAUAAAAGAAACAUUUCGAACUUGUCUUAAAAAUUGUUCCUGAGAUUUUGAAAAUAUAUUUGCCUUGUUCCAAAAAAUUACAUUUUCAUUUUUCACAUGUUUAGAAAAUUGUUCAUGGCAAUACUAAAAAUGUUUCAUUAUAAAAAAAGUUCUUACAUUUUUUAUAAAAAUGUUCAUAGUAUAUCAAAAAAUUUCAUCAUGUAUUUAUAAAACGUUCAAAUAUGUAUUGGAAAAAUAUUAUAUGUGUAUUUUUAAAAAUAUUUUGAAAAAAAAUCAGCAUGUAUUUGAAAUAUGGAAAAAUGAAAAAGAAAAUACAAAACAAAACAUGAAAUAAAUGAAGAAAAGUAAAAGGGGUAUGAAAAUGAAAAACCUAAAGAAACGCGAUAAAGAAACCAGAAGAAAAAACCCAAACAGAAUGUUUCAAAAAUCGCACGAAACGAACCAAUGCUACGCCUCCACCGCGACUGGGCCACAGCCCGCACACCAUUGCCAGAGGUGAGGGCCGCAUUUGCGCAAAAUGACCGCACACAUUGAACAAACUGUCAGCUAGCUAGUUAUUAGAAUGACAUGUAACUUUAUUCAAACUCAACAAAGUUACAGGUACAAUGCUUUGAUCAUGCAUACAAGAAAUUAUAAAAUAAUUCCUAUAACUAAGAAUUACGAUGCAACCCUCUUGAGUAAAAGUAUGACAAACGGAGGAAAAAAAUAUUAGCACAAUAUAAUCCUUGCUCUAUCCGAAUAUAUGGCGGUACAAAACUCAGCAACCCCGUUCGUUUUGGAGCUCCGGCUCCAUGAGGCCUUUUUUGGAAAAUCAGACAUGCAUAACUAAAACAUACGUGAUCUAACAUAUCUUAUAUUAGUUUACAGAGGGAGUACAUGCAUAAGUAAAACAUACGCAUGCAUGAGACUGGAGAAUGAGGGGCAUGCAUCGUCAAAAUAGGGUAGUUUGUCGGACAGUUAUAAGAUUUAAUAAUUUGGGGCAAUAAGCAUGAUAAAUCCUCAUUGGUAUCUAUAAUUUUGAAACUGUGCCCAGUAUACCGGGCCAGAGGGAGUGCUUGAGAAACACUUUUUACAAAAAGAAGGAUAACCCCUGAUCUAUGCAUAAGCAAUGCACACAGCCACUUUUAUUAUAUUAUUCAACAAAAUCUGACAAAACUAGUACAUGGACAACAUAAAGCCAUCUUCAUGGCAACCACUUGAGAAAACACUGAGUCCGUGAAAACUCGGUCGACGAAGCAGUCCAGGGAGCCUUGGGGCUUCCAACAGGUGGUGAAGCUCCCGCACAGGGUGUACGAUCGGGCCAAUUCCUUUCCAUUGUGAAUUGAACUGAAGUGAUUGCUUUUUUUUUACUUUGUAUUGCAAUUGCACUAACAUAAUUCUAAUGAUGGACGGUCACAUGGACGUGUGAGCACGGGAUUGACAAGCCAACUAACAUAAUUCUAUUACUACGAGGAUGCAACUAAUAGACUAAAAAUAUUGUUACUCACCCCCGCUGUCAUAACAAAGAGACACACACGCAAAAUCCAGCUGUGCUUAUUAACACCUCUACCUACCUAGGUUGCUUCAUUUGUAAUCAACUAAUCAACGAAUAUAACUCCAUUGACGUGUUAUGCAGUACUCUUUCACUUCAGCUAGCUAGCUGCAAUUCUAAUUAAUGCAGCCUCCAGAUCUGCUUUGUUUCACCAAGCCUAUAAAACCACACAAUAUGUAUCUCCAGUUCUCCACACAACACACACACACACACACACACACACACAAAACACAGCAGGUGCAACACUAGCUAGCUGUAAGCAUAAGAAGUAGGCAGCAAUGGCGAGGCAUCGCCUCCUCGUCGUGCUCCUCAUCGGGAUAGUUGCAGCCUCCGCCUUCAACCAAGCAGCUGCCGCUGGCCGAGGCCUUGCUGUCGUUGAGAAGUUUGCAGAGCUAGAGCCAAAGCCAGAGCCCAAACCAGAACCAAUUCCCAAGCUUACGCCACACCCAGAGCCAGAGCCUUGCAAACCUGAACCAAUGCCCAAACCCAAACCAAAACCCGAACAAAAGCCCGGACAGAAGCCCGAACCAGAACCCAAGCCCAAGCCAAUGCCAAAACCAAAGCCCGAGCCCUGCUCCAAACCAAAGCCAGAUCCUAAGCCCGAGCCGAUGCCGAAACCCGAACCAAAGCCGGAGCCCAAGCCUAAACCUGAACCGAAACCGAAGCCGCCUCCGAAGUGCAAAUCACCGGCAACACACAAUUGAUGGGAUAAUUAUAUAUGACACUUGACGAAGGAGACCUGGAAUGGAGCCACACUGUGUUAUUGUUAGAAUAAGUGGUGUAGUAUUCUCUGUAUUCACUUUCUUUUUAUUGUUCCAUGAGCGCGUGAUGAGUAUUAGAACUCUGUGAUUAUUAUUUUCUUGUUGCUAUAUGUUCAUCUACUUUGUAUGUGACCAGACUCGUUGUUCUUUUGAGUAUAAGUGCAUGAUUGUAUUCAUUCGCAUGAAUGAGCUAUGUUGUCCAGUGGGCUGCAGUCUAUUGUUGUUUUCUCUAUGGGGUGCAGUCGAUCUUUGUUAUUUUCUCUGUCGUAUUAUGUGGUCUUUUUUAGGGUGGGUGGGUGGGGGGGUAUACUCACACGCCAGGCAUCGGCCUUGUUCUCUACCCUCCACCUAUGAACUUAUGUCCCGAUUGAGUGUAUUCUGAGUUCUAAUCUUGCAGACCCUUCAUUUGUUUCAACGCCAGGCAUGUUGGCCCACCCCUGGACAUGACCGGAUCAUCUUGGGUGUUUUUUCUUCAAAAACAAAUUCAUUAAUGCAGAGUGCGUUGUCCAAUUAGAUGGUGGAUGAUGGAUUUCGAACCAACGUCCGUUGUUUCAACGCAGGGCAAGUGCAUUAUGAGGGUGGAUGCAUGUUAUAUUGUCUAACAACAUUCAAGUUUAAUUAUCUGUUACUAAAAAAUAAAUGAAAGAACAUGCGGUGCCCCCAUGUUUGGUUUUGGUAAUUGAUGACAAUCUCUAUGGACUAAUGGUUGCCUUGAGUUAUAUUUGAAGGAUUUGUCCAUAGGCAUUUCUUGAAGUCCAUGUGUUGGUUUCAAGGAGUUUAUGUGGUGACCAAGGUGUUAUUAAGGAAUUAUCCAAAGAUUGGUCAUGUGAGAGUUGAGCUUAUUGCAAGCAUGUCUUGAAGAAGAAGAUUGUGUGAUCAUUAAUGUUUACCUUCAAGACAUCAUCCAAAUGAAGAGAGUUGGAAAGAGUCAAGGUUGAUUAAGACUAAGUCAAGAGUGAAUCAAGUUGAUCAACACACAAAGCGCACAGGAUGUACCGAGGGAUCAAGCGAUCCCAUGGUAUGGUAAGCAUUGUCAAGUACGCUUUGUGUACUAACCCAUGGUCUUCGUGAGAGUUCUUUGUGGGGUUAGGUUGCGGUGUGCAAGUUCAAGUGAAGCGGGCAAGUUCAAGUAAAGCAUCACGAAGAGAUCAAAUGCUUGAAGCCAUUGUGGUGACAAUGGACUUGUGAAGACGUGCGGAAGGGUGGCUCACCCAUAGUGGAGUAUGGGGGAGCAAUCAACUAGUCUUCAUCGAGCCAACGCAAUUAAGAAAGGUGGUCCAUCUUGAGGGAGUCAAGAUCGUCAUCAUCUAGCUCAAGUGGACCAUGUGCAAGGCAAAGGUUUGCUCUUGAUAGGUUUUCUAUUUUACCGGUCUCGUGAUGGUAGUUGGGAGACCGGGUUAUAGGAUCGAUUGCCGUACUAUCAAGGGGGGCUGUCGAUGAGUAGCUUGAUCGUAUCGUUCAUAGAGAGCUCAAACCAUUGCAUCCUUACAUCAUCUUUGUUGGUUCUUGUUUGGUUCUUCUCUUUGUGAGUUUUGGAGCUUAUGGUCAUCUUGAUGACAAGCUCGAGUUCAUCGAAAACGGAGUUCACUCGCAUCUUCUAUGAUGUUUUCGAUGUUGGAGGUUAUGCCGGUUCUUCUCGGUUGGAGGUUUCACUCCUCUAUUUGUUGGCAUACCUCCCCUGCCUCUUCUUACUAUAACCAGUCGCUGUUUUGAUGCUACUCGUCGUCUUGUAUCCAACAAGCUUGAGUUUCCUCAAUUCGGAGCUCAUAUGAAGAAGUUUUGGCAGUUCUGUUUUUCUCCCUGCGGUAGUACCGCUUGUAGCGUCAAGCGGUAGUACCGCUCAAGUACCGCUCCAGUACCGCUCUACUACCACCUCGAUUUUGGGUCUGCUCUUUUCGUGUUGGGUUCAGCGGUAGUCGCGCGACAGUAAGGCACGGUAGUUCCGCCUAUAAGCGGUAGUACCGCUCCGAUCGAGCGGUAGUACCGCUACUGCACUACUGCCACCGUUCUCUACUCUGUCCUGCCUUCUUUUGUCCCGUGUUCUGCUCCUCCAGCGGUAGUACCGCUGGGGUGAGCGGUAGUACCGCUUAUCGGCGGUACUACCGUCCCAAGGUUCUUGUUUUGUUGCUCCUUUUCUCUGCUUCUUCCACCCGAGCGGUAGUACCGCUCGUGUGCGGGCUGAGCACUUAACGGUUGGAUUUUCCCCUUCCUAUAAAAGGGGGUCUUCUUCCCCAAUGAACCUUAUCCUUUGAGCUCGUGUUCUUUCCCCAUUGUUGACCUUCUUCGAGCUUGCUAACUCUCAAUCCCUCCAUGGAUUCUUGCUAGUUUUUGAGGGAAAAGAGAGAGGAGAUCUAGAUCCACAUUUCCACCAAUCACUUUCUCCUCUAUGUAAGGGGAACCCCUUGGAUCUAGAUCUUGGAGUUUUUGGUGUUCUCCUUCUUGUUCUUCCUCUCAUUUUCCUCCCUAGCAUUAGUUGCUUCGGUGGGAUUUGAGAGAGAAGGACUUGGGCACUCCGUGUGCCCUUGCCAUUGCAUUUGGUGCAUCGGUUUGAGUUCUCCAUGGUGAUACGUGGAAGUUACAAGUUGAGAAGCUUAUUACUCUUGGGUGCUUGGUACCCUUGAGCUUAUUCCUCUUGGGUGCUUGGGCGCCCUAGACGGUUGGUGGUGUUCGGAGCUCAAUCAUUGCGGUGCAAAGCUCCGGGCAAGCGUCGGGGUCUUCAAUUAGGUUGUGGAGAUCGCCCCGAGCAAUUUGACGGGUACCGGUGACCGCCCCCAAGGGUUGCCAAAGUGUACGGGUUCGGUGACCGCCCCCAAGGGUUGCCAUUUGUACGGGUUCGGUGACCGCCCUCAAGGGUCCCUUAGUGGAAUCACGGCAUCUUGCAUUGUGCGAGGGCGUGAGGAAAUUACGGUGGCCCUAGUGGCUUCUUGGGGAGCAUUGUGCCUCCACACCGCUCCAAACGGAGAUUAGCAUCCGCAAUGGUGUGAACUUCGGAAUACAUCGUCGUCUCCGCGUGCCUCGGUUAUCUCUUACCCGAGCUCUUUACUUAUGCAAGCCAUAUUGUUUCUUGUCAUAUAUCUUGUUGUCACCUAGUAGUUUGUCUUGCUUAGCAUAAGUUGUUGGUGCACAUAGGUGAGCCUAGUUGUUGUAGGUUUUGUGCUUGACAAAUUAACCGCUAGGUUUAUUCCGCAUUUGUUCAAGACUAAACCGUAAUUAUUUUAAAACGCCUAUUCACCCCCCCCCCCCUCUAGGCGACAUCCACGAUCUUUCAAUAAAUAAUUGAAAUACUGAGGUGGAGAGCUUGCAUGUGUUUCAUGAUGUGGAGGGCUUGCAUAUGGUGAAAAGUGAAAAGUUGAUUGGUUGCAUCUACUUGAUUUUUUUAACAUGGUACAGACGCAAGCGCUCAUAAAUGAACGCACACAUGCAUGCACACCCUACCCCUAGCAUCUCCGAGAGACUGAGCUGCCAUAUCAUCUUGAGAUUUUAUGAAGUCACCGUAGGCGCCUCGUAGUCGAGGGGAACAUCUCCUCCCACUGGAUGCGCAUCGCCGGUAAUCCUGAAAUAAAUCCGGACUUGAACCCUGGUGGACUGGGGAUACCACUGUCCUUCUAACUAUACAAUCACAGGUUGGUUCGGGGUUGCAUUUACCUGAUGACGUGAUUGACUUGCAUGUGCAUUAGUGAGACGACUUAUUUUGAUAUCGAGGAUAUAUGUGAAGAUAGUUACACCCUGUUGGCCGAGAUUACCAAGUAAAGGCACCAUGAAAAUUAUUUUAACAGAUUUUUCUUACUCAUAGUGAUUAUUUUUUUUAAAUGAUGACUUAUAUGAACAAUGAUCAUAUCCUUUACAAUAGAGGGGAUAAAGAAAUCAGGUGGCUUGUCAUGCCACACCAGCGAUUCACGCCCAAACAUUAACUUCUCUCACACAAUGAGAUAUAGUCACCUUGUCGAAAGCCUUAUCAACCUCAUGCAAUCAUCAUUUGUAACCGCUCCGGACGCUUGAUUCUUGGAAAAAUUCUGAAUAACUCGAACAAUUUCCAUAGAGUCACUUUCAGUUGCGAUAGAAAAGAUUCCCAGCUCCUCUACCAAGCGUAAGCCCAACAGGAGCGCAAGAGCUUCCAUUGACGGUGCAUCAAGCUAUGUUGCUUGAAUUCACACGUAGACUAUAUGAAACUCCCUAUAUGAUCUCUUAGGAUUGCCCCCCUCUCCCCUGCUCCCGAGUCCAUAUGAUAAGACGCAUUGAUGAUGUUCAAUUUUAUGCAUCCAGCAGCAGGUCGACUCCAACUCUUUGCACACUCAGGCAUUAGCUUCUUCUCGGGCAAACAAUGUUCAUCAUGAAUUUAAAAAAUGUUCGAACAUGUAUAAAAAUAUAUUCAAUGUGUAUUUGGAAACAGUUAAAAUUUAUUUGAAAAGGUUCAACAUUUAUGCAUUUUUCUAUUUCCUCAUUUUGUAACGUUCAAAAAUAAUGUUCACGAACUUUAAAAAGGUUUAAAAGCGUGUGAAUCCAUGUUUUUUUUAAAUUCAUGAACAUUAUUUUAAUGCAUGAGUUAUAUAAUCUAUAAAAAUAUGAAGUUGGUUUUAUUCCGAAACAAAGUACCUACUGGUUUUUAGCUGGCCAGCCGGUGAGCUAGAGAAGUGGCCGAGGAGAGCGAGUGCCCCAAUAGGUGUACGUUCCACGCCAGCGCGGUAGUGCUUGGCGACGCCUGAAGAACCAGAUAGGAGCUCCCCGUGAAAUGAUCAAAGGCCUUGAGAUGGAUAUUUUCCUGGGCCGCCUCCUAUUGAACUUCACUCUUUCCUUUGAAAGACAAAAGCACCCAUAAGAUGGUCAGCUAUUUUUAUUUUUAUUUUGCGGAAAAAAAAAAGAAAACUGCAUGAUGAACUAGAAGUACAAAACUAUGUGCUAGUUUCAAGUAUGUGAUGCUUGUUAUCUAGAAGUACAAAACUACCAUUCUCUCUAGUUGUUGUAUAUAUUCCUACAUCUAUAGGGUUUUUUAAGAAGAAAAAUAUACUUUUUUUAGAAUAAAAAAUAGGAAUAUGUUGGUACCAAGACGAUAUCAAUUACACCCCGGCAUCUGCAAAAGCACAACGUCAAGAGUUAUUCAAGAAAUUGAAGCUGCACACAACGUAAUUAUUUUUUAAAUAGAGAAAGGAAAAACAAUAACAAUAAUUACCAUUGUUAUGGUGAUUGGCGAUUUUAUGAGCCGUCCAUCCACCCUGAUCUAAUGAUGGGGAAAUAGGAGUUACGUGGAGUUACAAAACUAAAAUUACAGAAAAUUACCCACCGUUACAAAAUUGUAUUGGGACCGGUUGAUUUUUCCAAGGGUAAAUCCGUCACACGAUAGCUCGCGGUGCCCACAUCGAACCCACGUAUCUACCUAGCCGGCCACUCCGCCGCGGGGAUUAGGGAUCGCCACCGCAUGGCUCAGCCAUGGCCACGUCGCCGCCGUCCACCUCCGCCAUGGCCGGCCUAGCGCCGCCGUCCACGUGCGCCAUGACCGGCCUAGCGCCUCUGUCCACCUCCUCCGUGGCUGCCAUAGCGCCGCUGUCCACCUCCCCCAUGUCUGCCUCAGCGCCGCCGCCUGCCUCCACCGUGCUCAGCCCAGUGCCGUUGUUUACCUCGACCAUGGCCCCCAGCAGCUCUUCCCAUCACCAAUCCAUCCCCCUAUCCCACCAUUCCCAUCGCCAGCAAGGUCCGCCAGAAGAGGCCGACAUGAAUCCCCAAGAUCAAGAUCCAAGAGGACUAGAUGAUUGCAGCGUUAGAGAAGAAUUUGUAACAAUCUACAAUAAGGUAAACCCCCUCUUCCAAUUAGCAUAAAAGCUCCAAGUUCUCCCCUUUGUUCUCCAAUUAGCAUAUUCUCUGGAUGGUCUGCAGGUUCGAGUAGGAACACGAACACAUCAAUGAGGUCUUGUUUCAUUAGGAUGACAGAACACAUAAUCUGUACAAAUAGGAUGCAGUAUUUUCAUUUGCUGAGUUAAUGAAUAAGGUUUAGUUCAUGUUAUAGCAGAAUGGCAUGAAUCAUGAUACUGAUGUGCUUCCGUGGCAAACAUAAUUCUACAAAACUACAUAUGUGUACUAGAUAACAGGAGAUACAAGAGGAAUAUUACAAGUGUUGAAAAUUAACAGUAACUAGUAGGCUACAGAGUUUAUGUCACUAAAUUCAUAAUUGCAGAUCUAGCAUAAAAAUGAUUAGUAUAAGAAGUAAUAUUUUCUUCUCUUCAUGUACUCAAAAUGUAAAAGAAGUUAUCACUAGAAUUAUCCGAAGAAAAAAUAUUCUAAAUCAAAAGGAAAUGGUUGAGUCUCCAAGGAAAUAAGUGGUUAAAAGACAAGGAAAUCAUGUAGGUCGUAAUCUACAUUUCAAGUCAUACCUAGAAAUUAAGCAGUAGAACUGACUGAUUGGAAUCCUCUGAAACUAAAUACACCCAGUUUGCUAGACACAUUUAACCUGCUCACUUCAUUCUGCUUACAUUACUUCAUCUCCUCUGGUCUCUGCAUACUUUCCGAUGAAUUUCUAAAGCGGUCAGUACUGAAGUUGAUCUACUAUGAAGAUUUUAUAUUUAUGUCUCAAAAUUUCUGGUGCCUCUCGCUUCAUAAGAAAAGAUUAAAUCUCUCAUAUAUUACGUGUUUAUCUGGAAGCCGCUCCAUUCUUUGUUAUAUACUUCUGUUUAACCCAGUAUCACAUUAUAUAUGUACCGCUACUACUGUUUUCUAAAUGCAUUUACUUCGGCGUUCACAGAGUCUUUUGAGUAUGCUUUUAUUUCUGGAGGACGCAUCCUGAGUGACUACUUAGUAAGUUUUUCUUUUGUUUUUCACGGAAUUGAUUACCACAAUUAAUCUCAUAAUUUCUGUGUUUUUUAUUUUGCAGACCUAGACAGAUACGAACGCACAUCAUUAGAGCCUAGGGAGAAGAUCAAGGUAUAUGUGAUAAUUUAUAUUCCCUAGGAAAAUAUACAAUGGGGCUCGAGUCAACAUAUCCUUACCUGGGAAGAUAUUUGGCGGAAGCUCCUAGCUGUGAGAUAUCUGUAACACUUGUGUCGCCUUAUAUUGAAUAUUUUCAGUCGACCGAACGUUUCAAAGAUUUCACUAGUUGGUUUGCUGAAUCUGGAAAUGAUAUUUAGUUCUGAUUGAUGAUAGGUUGGCAUAUAUCUGUUUGUGUAUCCGUCCACUUAUUUUGCUUUUUUUAGGGCUACACUUGGUUUGCUAUAGAAAUUAGCUAAUUAUUCCUGUUGAGAAUUUGAUCACCUUUUCUCCAUUGAUCAAGUAUCUUCUCGUGGAGGUGUGGAUGAAGGACCCCUCCAAUGUGCAAAAAAUUGGCACAUGGAGCUGCCGGAGCCAGACGGCCCAGCCCCAUCGCCGACAGAAAAGCGCAGGAUGGUGCAUGGCGUCAUCAUCUAUGUUGGAUCAGUGGAGGAUCACAGCACCACGUUGAUAUGGAAAGAGAUGAUUUGGCGAAGAAAAGACCCAUCUACUUUGCAAUUACUAUACUUUGUCUAUAAGAAGUUACUGUACAUAUGCAUUUCCCUAUCAGUAUUCUGCAGCUAAACGAGGAAACUUGGUAUGUAUGAUUUGUCAUGAGUUGGAACCAGCAAGUGCUUCUUCCAUCUGUUCUUCAAUCUGUAGUCCAUAUUUUUUGCUUAUAACUAUACAUCAGUUCCUAGUUUAGACAGAGGCUGAACUUCUUGUUUCAAAACUUGGAGAACACUUGUGAUGCAGUGGCAACCCGCAGGGCAUAAACAAUCUACAUUAUAAUGUCACUGAAGGAAAUCACCUAAAAUAGAUACUACAACUCAAAGUUGUAUUAUCGACACUUAUGGGCCUGAACAACUAAGACUGAUACUUGUAAGCCUAUGAGCUCGAAAGAGUGAGGUCCAUACUUGUGAGCCCGAACGCCUCAGAGCUAUACUCCCUCCGUUUCUUUUUACUCCGCAUAUAAAGUUUGGUCAAAGUCAAACUACACGAAGUUUGACCAAAUUUAUAUCAAAAAAUAUAAACAUCUACAAUACUAAAACUAUGUAGUAUGAAAAUACAUUUCAUGAUGCAUCUGAUAAUAUUGACUUCAGAUUGUGGAUGUUGAUAUUUUUUAAUAUAAAGUUAGUCAAACUUUACAAAGCUUGACUUUGACCAAACUUUAUAUGCAGACUAAAAAGAAACGGAGGGAGUACUUGUGAGUCCGGACGACUAAGAGCAGUACUUUUAACCUCGAACAACUACGAUCGGUAGUUGUGAGCUCAGACGACUCAGAGAGUCGUACUUUUGACCUAGGACGACUCACGGUUAUUCGUAGUUGUGCGUGUGGGCCCUGACGACCCAUAGUGAUUUCUAGUGGUAUUUGUUGCUAAGUGUUAUUGAGAGUGACUAGUAGUGGUAUUGGUGGCCUGGAUACCGUAGAGGGGUAUGGGAUGGUAUUGGUGGCCCGGGCGAGCCAUAGUCGUACUUAUGGGCACACAACUAGCACUAUGGGUCGUUCGAUCCCACUACUAGCACUAUGGGUCAUUCGACCCCACUAGUAGCACCAUAUGGUUCGACUGAACCUAGAACUACAAUUAUGGGUCGUCCGAGUCAACAAACGCCACUAUGGGUCGUCCGAACCUAGAACUGCAAGUAUGGGCCAUCUGGGUCCACAAGCACCACUAGGGGUGGUCCGGUCCCACAAAUAAUGCUAUGGGUCGUCCAAUCCUACUACUAGCAUUAUGAGUCGUCUGAACCCAUAACUACCAGCAUGGGUUGUCCGGACCCACAAGUAGCAUUACCGGUCAUCCAGAUCGGUACUUGUGGACCUUGGUGAAGAUGAUUGAUACUAAUGAGCCCGAACGAGUAAGAUCGUUACUAGUGAGCCCGAACAAGUAAAUUCGGUACUUGUAGGCUCGGACUGCUAAGAUGGAUACUUGGCCCGAACCACUAAGAGAGAUACUUUGGGUCUGAAUGACUAAGAUCUGUUCUUGUGGAUCCAGACGACUAAGAUCGGUACUUAUGGACCCGGGUGAGUAAGAUCGAUACUAGUGAGCCCGAAUGAGAAAGAUCGGUACUAGUGAGCCUGAACGAGUAAGAUCGGUGCUUGUAGGCUCGGACUAAUAAGAUCAAUACUUGUGGGCCCGAACCACUAAGAGCGAUACUUAUGGGUCCUUUUAUGUUUGGUACUAGUGAGCCCGAACGAGUAUGAUCAUUCUUCACGCAGAGAGAACUUAAGAACGAGGAUGAUGUUGAAUGGUUUAUUAGUAGGCUUUAAGUUUUUGUUAGUAGGCUUUGAAUUUUUAUCUUCCAUCUUCGCGCGGGUCAGGAUGGAAGGUAUCCUUAGUGACAUUCACUUCAAGUUUUGUUCUCCAAAGGAUGGAAUGAUGUGAGAAUCUUUUUUAUCUAUGUUUCAAGUCGUCAUAUUAUAAUUUCCAAUAUGUCUCGAGUUCAACCUUCUCUCGAACUGAACCACUUUGUGAAUACUGGUUUUCCCUUCAAAUUUCCACUUAAAACACUGUUGCCUGCACAAACAUAUCAUUCACACUAAACUGGAACAUGCGUGUCUCCAACAGUGCUUUUACAUUAAACUGUACUUUUUCCUGAUAUGACAGUGUUAGCUUUAGUAAACUAUAGGUUGGAAGUGUGACAGUAUUUUAGUAAAACUUCUACUGAUGAUCGUCACCCAUUAACUCCACCUCCAGAUCCCAUGCCAAGAAAACUGCACAGAGGUGAAGGCUGGUGAAAAACGAGACAUGAAGCCUUUUUUUUCCGAUAAAGGGCGAUUUUAUUAUCUCAAAUGUAGCAUCAAGCGGAUACAAAACAUUAUGAGAAACACCCGGCCGCCUCCGCAUAACUAGAAUGCACACGGCCCAAUAUGAAGGUCUGACAAACAUUGAUGAAAAAAAAACCGACAAAUCGGCAACAGUAGAGCCCUUUUUGUCAGCUAAGUUUAAGUUGAUUCAGACAACGCUCGCAACAAAGGGAGAGGAUGAACAAUGAUUGCACUAUGUACCCUUUUUCAUUCAUGGACAUGAUAUGAGAGCAAUGCGGGUAUUCAUGGCCCCCAUUUUUUUCCUAGCUUUUAGACUGCACAGAGAAGUAAAAUUGUGCCAAGAACUACUGAUCAUUGUUGUCUGAAAACACGGGAGAAGAGAUCAGAGUUCAGAGAACAUCGUCAUCACCUGCAAAGGACAGAGGAUAAUUAGGAUCGAUUGACUAUAUCUUCCUGCAUACAACAUACGAAUAAAUAAUUGGUGUGAAUCAUGUGGCAGAUGAAAAAUCAACUCUUUUAUGUUGAAUUUCAAUCAUGUCGAUGCUAAAGUGUAACAUCAAAGCUAGUCGGUUCCCAGAAUUGGCCUCGGUCAAACAAGUAAAAUCUGGUAGAAAAGACAAUGAAUCAAAUAAUAGCGAACCCAUGCAAAACUAAGAAAAUUAUUGAGAAAAGCUGAACCCAUUACCCAUUUUUGUUCUAACAAGGAAAAUUAUGUCACUAAGAAAAUCAAUAAGGAGUCUAGCUAUUGCAGUGUCCUGCUAUGUAGCAUGCAAUCAACCAUUGAAGUUUUCAUCGAAACAGGUCACAUUCUUAAGCUGAUUGGAAGUAAUGAUCCUGAGAGGUCGAAUCCUAAAGGUCGGAAAUAGUGAUCAAUGAGGUGCUACAUGUCGGAAAUAUAGUACACUUCUUGCUUUUCACUCAUCCUACAGACCAGAAAUAAUGAUCAAUGAGAUGCUAGCUGCAGGAAAGUUUGUCACAACAUGAUAUUGACGGUAAUAUCGUAAUAAACUAUAAUUGGCAUGAACUCUGGGUGAUCCACACAGCUAUAGUAAGUUAGGUAGUAACCAAUUUAUUAUAGUUGCAGCGAGCACAAAGAGAAGCUUGUCCAACAUCGUCUGAGAUGGUUUGGGCAUAUUCAGCGCAGGCCUCCAGAAGCUCCAGUGCAUAGUGGACGGCUAAAGCGUGCGGAGAAUGUCAAGAGAGGGCGGGGUAGACCGAAUUUGACAUGGGAGGAGUCCGUUAAGAGAGACCUGAAGGAUUAGAGUAUCACCAAAGAGCUAGCAUUGGACAGGGGUGCGUGGAAGCUUGCUAUCCAUGUCCUAGAGCCAUGAGUUGGUUGCGAGAUCUUAUGGGUUUCACCUCUAGCCUACCCCAACUUGUUUGGGACUAAAGGCUUUGUUGUUGUUGUUGUAAGAGAAAAACAACUGGUUAUCAAUAACAGUGGCGGAUCUUAUAGAAUCUAUGCUUAGAAGCCAACUCUUGCAUGCUCUAACAGAUAAAUAGCAAAAUAAGGAAUUUCAUAAACAACAAAAAGCAUUAGAGACCGCUCGAUUAAACAUACAAAAGUCAAUGGUUAAUUAGUAUGUCAGGAAAUUAGGAUGACCGGACAUAUCUUGGAGAAUAUACUUGGUAAAUUAUGCAAUGCCUGUAUGGUAAAAAAUGUGGUUAGGACUAUGAGGGAAACAAUUUAGUGCACUUGUCUUUUUUGUCUAACAAUGUUCUUAUUUGUGCAAUAGCCCUAUCCAGAAACAAUGAGAUCCUUUUCUAGUUUUAUGGUAUUAAUAGUUGCUAGAUCAAAUAUAGUAGUUAAAUAUUCUUGAAAAUUCCUUAUGUUAGAGUGGAACCCUUGGAAAGUUAGUACUCAUGAGCUAGAUGAAGGGGAAGAAACUAAAGGAUUAACUGGGCAGAUAAGAGAUAAAUUGUGCAUAUAUUUCUAGUCAGUUGCGGGGAGGUCCAGAUCCAGUUGCUCCCAACCUCAUGAAGCUAACAAAAUGUUGCAGUCUCUGACCAAUGCCUCAUAUCUCUUGAUUAGUUGGGAUCUGCAGAUAGUAUUGAUAUGAUAACGGCAGAUGCAAGCAAUAUAAUUUCUUUACUACAAACAGAAGCGCAAUACCUUUUUUCGAUAAAGGGUGGAUUUUAUUACUCAAAACUAAGCAUCAAGAGGAUACAAACAUAGUGAGCACACACCCGGCCUCUGCAUAGCUAAGAUGCGCACAGCCAACACCAAUGCACACACAAAAACCGCCGGCAAGUAGCAAAGUCAUAUAAGACCAAAGCUAUGCCUAAGCGAGGAAAAAGAAAAACGCCCUGAAGCGGUCAAAAUCACGAUCGACAAACUACAACAAUGACCAUAUCCGCACCAACCAUCUCAUAACACCACAAGGACAAUGAUGUUCGUCAACAGCAACGCCUUCAAGAAGGGAGCGACGCUCGAGUGCCGCCGUCACUGGAACCAACCACCAAAGGCCAGUGUCUAGGUUUUCACCCUGAAGAAACAGUCCGAGCAUAUCCGAGCAAUGCCUUCAAUAAGGUAAUGAUGACAGAACAUCGUCAUUGCCAGGUAUAACCGUCAAGGGCCAGACCUAGGUUUUCACCCUGGAGCUUGAGACCAGGUACUCAAAAAGCAACACCAUCGGACUCAAGCAUGUGUUGUAUCCACCACUUUUCCGCAAUUCUAGCAGCUGCAUGUGCUGGGUUUGAAAACCGAUAGCAACCGAUGCGCAACCAUACCCUCUGCGUCAAGUCAUCAUCCAUAGAUUGCAUAUCACCGCCAAAGCGACCACUGGAUCUUGAAGAGUAUCACUCGCAAAGACCCUUUAGUGUCCAUCGCAAUCCGCCGUGAGGCCGCUGCCACGCUGGUGAGUUCAUCCUGUCUUGCCGCGAUCCGCACCCGCCGUGCCAAAAGCCUUGCGGAAGAGCAGCGGAGAAUCCUGAUCCAGUUGAGGACGCUAGGGCCUCGCGCCGCCAUCCCCAUGGCCAGAUGCGCUUAAGCUAGACCACGUCGACGACUCAAUGCAGUAGGCGCCCUACAUGCAACAGCCAAAGAUAUGAGCCCGGUCGCAUCUUUGUUAGGCGGUACCAGCUGCGAUGGAGGACUCUGAUCUUGAAACAGUUUGCAUCCAAGAUUCAGCCAAAGCAAGCCAGCCACGAUGGAGGAUCGUGAAACAAUCAGCAUCCAAGACGGCAAGUCAGCCCUGCGCCACCGGCACAGAACCGGGCCACCCUGCCACCAGGAGCCUAAACGGAUCAAUGUACAAGAGAAGACCAAACUGGCAAUAGCAGCUGGAGUUAUGUUGGAGACGGAGCAGUAAGGUCAUUCCAUGCUCAGGGCGUCCAAAAAAAAUGCUCAGGGCGUCUCCUUCCACCCCACCCUUGCCGUUGUACUCCACCAUGCUCCUCCACGUCCCCGAGGAUCCUGCACCGGGCGGCAUGCACGGCAGUGGAUGCAGCCUCGGUGCCUUCACCGUGGACCCGCUCACGCCGUUUCACGAUUCAUGAGGGACCUGGCGGGAGCGGGAGCGGAGAUUAAUCCGAGGGCCAAGGAGGAGACCUUCUGGGGAAGGGGCGCUGAUGGCGGGAGAAGCUGGAAGUCAUGGUCGGAGCCACUGGCAGGCGAAGUGGCGGCGGCCGCCGGCGGCUCUAGGGUUAGCAUCGCCCGCGAAAGAGGGAUGGACUCUGCGUGCCUCUGUCUUGGGCCUUGCUUGGCCUGGGCACGCUCGAUGCUUCAACGCGGGACAGAUAGGACCAUUAUACCCUUAUUAUUAAAAAAAAUACUUUAAGUGAGUUUUUCAGAUCUAACGGACAGAAAAUCUUGAGAUGAAGUUACGUGAAAUUACGAGGCGUAACUCGCCAAUCACCCUAAAAGAGCUCAACGAUAAUACACGCCGAGGGGCCACAACAAGCAGUCCCUUAUAUCAUAUCAUGCCUACCCACUAAACUCCUUUGAUACCAGCAAGAAGCGCAUAUCCGCAUAAAUGUGAUCACAUAUCACCAUAAAGCUCAUUGCCAUGAUAUUGGAAAUUUUGUUGUUCCUUUCACUCCAAAUGCGACAACCAACAAUAAAUCAAUCAUAGCGAUCAAGAAGAAGGGGAAUGAUUCUUGUUUUUUUUAUCUAUGUUUGUAGAGUGUACAACUUUAUGUUUAUGAUGUAUUGGGUUUUUUUCCUGUCUUAUUAAUGAAUGAAAGGCGCGCUAGAGAUGGCUGUGUCAACGCAGAGGCCAGGGUUUUCACCACCUUCAAAAAAGCAAGAAAGAAGGCAAUGCUGCUGCAUUUAGCUUAAAUUUACUAGAUCUGUUGGUUGGGUCGAUGAGGUACGUAGAAAUUAGUAAAAGGGACAUGUCAGGUUGACACGCAAAAGAAAAAGAAAAAGAAAAGCGUGAGCAGGGUGUAACGUACGGCACUCCAACCAUGCUAAUCGACUGAGAACAUACGCCGGACUGGAAUCCAUGCCCUACUGCUACAAUCAAAAUAAUUAGCGAGGGAGUGAUGGGUAGAAAAGUCCAUGGUGCAUGCAUGCUAUGGCAAACAGAUGGGGGGCCAUUUUCGUGUGCACCACUACGUCCUUAUGACAAGAGGGUACCUGUAGCUAGAGCUGGCUCGCCCUACUUACGUUACUCCACUACCGUCUUUGUCAUAUGUACUAUGUAUGCAAUGUCGGUCUGUACCUACCGGAAACUGCUCAGCACGCCACACAACAAUACAAUACAUACAGAUCACAUAUAUAGGAGUACAUCUUAGGUAUGGGUGCCCCUACAUAGACGUGUGGUGUGGCGUGAGCAAGGGACAAGGCAACUAACAGAUUUUCCCAUUUGCAACAGGGUGCAACUAAUAGAGUUGAAAUAUUGUUACCGGAUAUGUUGCUGUGCCGAUCCGCACACCCACCGGCGGCACUGGUUUACAGGGAUUGUGGCACACGCGUCCGGAUCUGAUUGGCUCCUCCGCCCUAUUAAACCACACCGUAUGUAUCUCCACUUCUCCACACAGAGCACACCCAUCCACCAUCCAUCCACGCUAGAAGCAGCGGCGAACAAGUGCACCCCUAGCUGCGAGCACAAGGAGCAGGCAGCAAUGGCGAGGCGUCGCCUCCUUGCCGUGCUUAUGCUCCUCGUCGUGGUAGUGGCAGCCUCCACUUUCCACCAAGCGGCCGCCGCUGGCCGAGGCCUUGCUGCCGUCGAGAAGUUUGCGGACCUGGAGCCAAAGCCAAAACCUAAACCAGAGCCAAUGCCCAAACAAAUGCCCAAGCCAGAACCCAAGCCGAUGCCUAAACCUGAACCGAAGCCAGAGCCCAAGCCCAAGCCAAUGCCCAAACCUGAACCAAAGCCAGAGCCCAAGCAUAAACCAAUGCCUAAGCCAGAGCCCAAGCCGGAACCUAUGCCUAAGCCGGAGCCCAAGCCUAAACCUGACCCGAAACCAGAGCCACCACCGAAGCACAAGCCGCCAACAGCUUACAAUUGAUGGGAUGCUAUAUAUGAAAACUGAAGGAUCGAGGAGAUCAUGGCCGGAGCCACAAUCACGAUAUUUCUAGAAUAAGUGGUGUAGUAACAAUGUCAUUCUAUCCGGCUAGCUCCAUAGUGAUGCAUCUUUCUGUAUUCUAUGUAUUUCGUUACAUUUACAAAGUUUCUGUUCCAUGCACCCAUGAUGAGUAUUACUACUUUGUAAUUGUUAAUUUGCUUGUUGGUGUACGUUCAGUUUUGUACGUGACUCGUUGUUCUAUUUGUGUAUCUAUAUGCAUGAUUCUAUUCAUUCGCAUGAAUGAGUUAUUUUGUCCAGAG